ACGAAGGGUGCAAGCGUUAAUCGGAAUUACUGGGCGUAAAGGGUGCGUAGGCGGUUCGUUAAGUCUGUCGUGAAAUCCCCGGGCUCAACCUGGGAAUGGCGAUGGAUACUGGCGAGCUAGAGCGUGUCAGAGGAUGGUGGAAUUCCCGGUGUAGCGGUGAAAUGCGUAGAUAUUGGGAGGAACACCAGUGGCGAAGGCGGCUCACUGGACCGGAACUGACGCUGAGGCGCGAAAGCGUGGGGAGCAAACAGGA
rnacentral:rRNA from 1 species